ACUUAUAUAGUUUAACAAAACAUUACAUUUUCAAUGUAAAAAUAAAAUUUUUAUAAGUU
rnacentral:tRNA from 1 species